UCCCUAGUGGUCUAGUGGUUAGGAUUCAGUGCUUUCACUGUCAUGGCUUAGGUUCAACCCCUGGUUGGGGAA
rnacentral:tRNA from 1 species